rfam:Dipodomys ordii contig_55082, whole genome shotgun sequence.
GUGGGCUAUGGAGACAUCUACCCUAAAACGUUAUUAGGGAAGAUUGUGGGAGGCCUGUGCUGUAUUGCUGGGGUCUUGGUGAUUGCACUUCCUAUUCCAAUCAUUGUAAACAAU